CAGAAUAAGCACCGGCUAACUCUGUGCCAGCAGCCGCGGUAAUACAGAGGGUGCUAGCGUUAAUCGGAUUUACUGGGCGUAAAGCGUGCGUAGGUGGUUUGAUAAGUCGAUUGUGAAAGCCCCGGGCUUAACCUGGGAAUUGCGGUCGAUACUGUCAGACUCGAAAACGGUAGAGGGAGGUGGAACUCCAGGUGUAGCGGUGAAAUGCGUAGAUAUCUGGAAGAACACCGAUGGCGAAGGCAGCCUCCUGGGCCUGUUUUGACACUGAGGCACGAAAGCGUGGGUAGCAAACAGGAUUAGAUACCCUGGUAGUCCACGCCGUAAACGAUGAGAACUUGACGUUGGUUUGCUUAGCAAAUCGGUGUCGUAGCUAACGCGAUAAGUUCUAGCGGUGGAGCAUGUGGUUUAAUUCGAUGCAACGCGAAGAACCUUACCUGGUCUUGACAUGUCAAGAAGUCUGCAGAGAUGCGGAUGUGCCUUCGGGAACUUGAACACAGGUGCUGCAUGGCUGUCGUCAGCUCGUGUCGUGAGAUGUUGGGUUAAGUCCCGCAACGAGCGCAACCCUUGCCGCUAAUUGCCAUCAUUAAGUUGGGCACUUUAGUGGGACUGCCGGUGACAAACCGGAGGAAGGUGGGGAUGACGUCAAGUCCUCAUGGCCCUUAUGGGUAGGGCUUCACACGUCAUACAAUGGCGCAUACAGAGGGCUGCGAAACCGCGAGGUGGAGCCAAUCCCAGAAAGUGCGUCGUAGUCCGGAUUGCAGUCUGCAACUCGACUGCAUGAAGUCGGAAUCGCUAGUAAUCGCGGAUCAGCAUGUCGCGGUGAAUACGUUCCCGGGUCUUGUACACACCGCCCGUCACA
rnacentral:rRNA from 1 species